rnacentral:rRNA from 1 species
UACGUAGGGUGCGAGCGUUGUCCGGAAUUAUUGGGCGUAAAGGGCUCGUAGGCGGUUUGUCGCGUCGGGAGUGAAAACUCAGGGCUUAACCCUGAGCCUGCUUCCGAUACGGGCAGACUAGAGGUAUGCAGGGGAGAACGGAAUUCCUGGUGUAGCGGUGAAAUGCGCAGAUAUCAGGAGGAACACCGGUGGCGAAGGCGGGUCUCUGAGCCGAUACUGACGCUGAGGAGCGAAAGCAUGGGUAGCGAACAGG